rnacentral:rRNA from 1 species
GACGAACGCUGGCGGCGUGCCUAAUACAUGCAAGUAGAACGCUGAAGGAGGAGCUUGCUUCUCUGGAUGAGUUGCGAACGGGUGAGUAACGCGUAGGUAACCUGCCUGGUAGCGGGGGAUAACUAUUGGAAACGAUAGCUAAUACCGCAUAAGAGUAGAUGUUGCAUGACAUUUGCUUAAAAGGUGCAAUUGCAUCACUACCAGAUGGCCCUGCGUUGUAUUAGCUAGUUGGUGGGGUAACGGCUCACCAAGGCGACGAUACAUAGCCGACCUGAGAGGGUGAUCGGCCACACUGGGACUGAGACACGGCCCAGACUCCUACGGGAGGCAGCAGUAGGGAAUCUUCGGCAAUGGACGGAAGUCUGACCGAGCAACGCCGCGGGAGUGAAGAAGGUUGUCGGAUCGUAAAGCUCUGUUGUAAGAGAAGAACGAGUGUGAGAGUGGAAAGUUCACAAUGUGACGGUAGCUUACCAGAAAGGGACGGCUAACUACGUG